rnacentral:tRNA from 4 species
GGGCCUGUGGUGUAGUUUGGAUAUCACAGGGGCCUCCGGAGCCCUUAACCCGGGUUCAAAUCCCGGCAGGCCCG